rnacentral:rRNA from 1 species
UACGUAGGGGGCAAGCGUUGUCCGGAUUUAUUGGGCGUAAAAGGCUUGUAGGUGGCCACGCCAAGUCGGAUGUGAAAUCUCCCGGCUCAACUGGGAGGGGUCAUUCGAUACUGGCGGGCUCGAGGCCGGUAGGGGGAAGUGGAAUUCCCGGUGUAGUGGUGGAAUGCGUAGAUAUCGGGAGGAACACCAGUGGCGAAGGCGGCUACCUGGCCUGUUCUUGACGCUGAGGCGCGAAAGCUAGGGGAGCAAACGGG